rnacentral:rRNA from 1 species
AGCGGCGGACGGGUGAGUAAUGCCUGGGAAAUUGCCCUGAUGUGGGGGAUAACCAUUGGAAACGAUGGCUAAUACCGCAUAAUAGCUUCGGCUCAAAGAGGGGGACCUUCGGGCCUCUCGCGUCAGGAUAUGCCCAGGUGGGAUUAGCUAGUUGGUGAGGUAAUGGCUCACCAAGGCGACGAUCCCUAGCUGGUCUGAGAGGAUGAUCAGCCACACUGGAACUGAGACACGGUCCAGACUCCUACGGGAGGCAGCAGUGGGGAAUAUUGCACAAUGGGCGCAAGCCUGAUGCAGCCAUGCCGCGUGUAUGAAGAAGGCCUUCGGGUUGUAAAGUACUUUCAGCAGUGAGGAAGGCGGAGUCGUUAAUAGCGGCCUCGUUUGACGUUAGCUGCAGAAGAAGCACCGGCUAACUCCGUGCCAGCAGCCGCGGUAAUACGGAGGGUGCGAGCGUUAAUCGGAAUUACUGGGCGUAAAGCGCAUGCAGGUGGUUUGUUAAGUCAGAUGUGAAAGCCCGGGGCUCAACCUCGGAAUUGCAUUUGAAACUGGCAAA